GGGUUGUGAGGUUAAGCGACUAAGCGUACACGGUGGAUGCCCUGGCAGUCAGAGGCGAUGAAGGACGUGCUAAUCUGCGAUAAGCGUCGGUGAGGUGAUAUGAACCGUUAUAACCGGCGAUUUCCGAAUGGGGAAACCCAGUGUGUUUCGACACACUAUCAUUAACUGAAUCCAUAGGUUAAUGAGGCGAACCGGGGGAACUGAAACAUCUAAGUACCCCGAGGAAAAGAAAUCAACCGAGAUUCCCCCAGUAGCGGCGAGCGAACGGGGAGGAGCCCAGAGCCUGAAUCAGUGUGUGUGUUAGUGGAAGCGUCUGGAAAGGCGCGCGAUACAGGGUGACAGCCCCGUACACAAAAAUGCACAUAUUGUGAGCUCGAUGAGUAGGGCGGGACACGUGGUAUCCUGUCUGAAUAUGGGGGGACCAUCCUCCAAGGCUAAAUACUCCUGACUGACCGAUAGUGAACCAGUACCGUGAGGGAAAGGCGAAAAGAACCCCGGCGAGGGGAGUGAAAAAGAACCUGAAACCGUGUACGUACAAGCAGUGGGAGCCUCUUAAUGGGGUGACUGCGUACCUUUUGUAUAAUGGGUCAGCGACUUAUAUUCUGUAGCAAGGUUAACCGAAUAGGGGAGCCGAAGGGAAACCGAGUCUUAACUGGGCGUUAAGUUGCAGGGUAUAGACCCGAAACCCGGUGAUCUAGCCAUGGGCAGGUUGAAGGUUGGGUAACACUAACUGGAGGACCGAACCGACUAAUGUUGAAAAAUUAGCGGAUGACUUGUGGCUGGGGGUGAAAGGCCAAUCAAACCGGGAGAUAGCUGGUUCUCCCCGAAAGCUAUUUAGGUAGCGCCUCGUGAAUUCAUCUCCGGGGGUAGAGCACUGUUUCGGCAAGGGGGUCAUCCCGACUUACCAACCCGAUGCAAACUGCGAAUACCGGAGAAUGUUAUCACGGGAGACACACGGCGGGUGCUAACGUCCGUCGUGAAGAGGGAAACAACCCAGACCGCCAGCUAAGGUCCCAAAGUCAUGGUUAAGUGGGAAACGAUGUGGGAAGGCCCAGACAGCCAGGAUGUUGGCUUAGAAGCAGCCAUCAUUUAAAGAAAGCGUAAUAGCUCACUGGUCGAGUCGGCCUGCGCGGAAGAUGUAACGGGGCUAAACCAUGCACCGAAGCUGCGGCAGCGACGCUUAUGCGUUGUUGGGUAGGGGAGCGUUCUGUAAGCCUGCGAAGGUGUGCUGUGAGGCAUGCUGGAGGUAUCAGAAGUGCGAAUGCUGACAUAAGUAACGAUAAAGCGGGUGAAAAGCCCGCUCGCCGGAAGACCAAGGGUUCCUGUCCAACGUUAAUCGGGGCAGGGUGAGUCGACCCCUAAGGCGAGGCCGAAAGGCGUAGUCGAUGGGAAACAGGUUAAUAUUCCUGUACUUGGUGUUACUGCGAAGGGGGGACGGAGAAGGCUAUGUUGGCCGGGCGACGGUUGUCCCGGUUUAAGCGUGUAGGCUGGUUUUCCAGGCAAAUCCGGAAAACCAAGGCUGAGGCGUGAUGACGAGGCACUACGGUGCUGAAGUGACAAAUGCCCUGCUUCCAGGAAAAGCCUCUAAGCAUCAGGUAACAUCAAAUCGUACCCCAAACCGACACAGGUGGUCAGGUAGAGAAUACCAAGGCGCUUGAGAGAACUCGGGUGAAGGAACUAGGCAAAAUGGUGCCGUAACUUCGGGAGAAGGCACGCUGAUAUGUAGGUGAAACGACUUGCUCGUGGAGCUGAAAUCAGUCGAAGAUACCAGCUGGCUGCAACUGUUUAUUAAAAACACAGCACUGUGCAAACACGAAAGUGGACGUAUACGGUGUGACGCCUGCCCGGUGCCGGAAGGUUAAUUGAUGGGGUUAGCGGUAACGCGAAGCUCUUGAUCGAAGCCCCGGUAAACGGCGGCCGUAACUAUAACGGUCCUAAGGUAGCGAAAUUCCUUGUCGGGUAAGUUCCGACCUGCACGAAUGGCGUAAUGAUGGCCAGGCUGUCUCCACCCGAGACUCAGUGAAAUUGAACUCGCUGUGAAGAUGCAGUGUACCCGCGGCAAGACGGAAAGACCCCGUGAACCUUUACUAUAGCUUGACACUGAACAUUGAGCCUUGAUGUGUAGGAUAGGUGGGAGGCUUUGAAGUGUGGACGCCAGUCUGCAUGGAGCCGACCUUGAAAUACCACCCUUUAAUGUUUGAUGUUCUAACGUUGGCCCGUAAUCCGGGUUGCGGACAGUGUCUGGUGGGUAGUUUGACUGGGGCGGUCUCCUCCUAAAGAGUAACGGAGGAGCACGAAGGUUGGCUAAUCCUGGUCGGACAUCAGGAGGUUAGUGCAAUGGCAUAAGCCAGCUUGACUGCGAGCGUGACGGCGCGAGCAGGUGCGAAAGCAGGUCAUAGUGAUCCGGUGGUUCUGAAUGGAAGGGCCAUCGCUCAACGGAUAAAAGGUACUCCGGGGAUAACAGGCUGAUACCGCCCAAGAGUUCAUAUCGACGGCGGUGUUUGGCACCUCGAUGUCGGCUCAUCACAUCCUGGGGCUGAAGUAGGUCCCAAGGGUAUGGCUGUUCGCCAUUUAAAGUGGUACGCGAGCUGGGUUUAGAACGUCGUGAGACAGUUCGGUCCCUAUCUGCCGUGGGCGCUGGAGAACUGAGGGGGGCUGCUCCUAGUACGAGAGGACCGGAGUGGACGCAUCACUGGUGUU
rnacentral:rRNA from 1 species